CCCUUCCUAAGACUGUUCCUGUGACCGGAAGGUGCUGAAAGAAACACAUUUCGAGUAGUAAAAACAAGUGUCCAGGAAGGAGCUUUCAUCAGCUUAUAACAAACGAGGGACUCAUGUUUCUCCACCUGGAUCUGGAAUGGACUGGAGAGAAACAGCAGGGAGCUGUGAGCAGCUGGCGGCAGGAGCCACCCUGCUCUUAGCAGCACUAGUUGGCUGCUGAGUGGCCCCUAUUUGACUCUUUUGUUGUUGCUCCCUAUAUGACCCUUCCUCCUCUCCCCCAUCUCCUUCCCUUCCCUUCCUUUCCCUUCCCUUCCCUUCCCUUCCCUUCCCUUCCCUUCCCUUCCCCCUCCUUCCCUUCCUUCCUUUUCUUUCUUUUUUCUUUUCAGUUUCUGCUUUUCACACAGGAUCUCACAUAGCCCAGGCUGGCCUUGAAUGUACCACAUAGAGGGGCUGAGUAUUGCACAGCUACCCACAGCAACACUACCUGCUCCAGAGACAAUGAAGCUGAAGAAUGUCUUGCAGAAGGAAAAUGCCUCUCAGCCCUGAAACUAGGAACACUAAAGAGGGUCAAAGCACAAGACAUCCAUCCCUAGCCAGUGUUCCCACCCGUGGAGAAAGUGAGAGUACACUGAGUGGCCUGUCCCAUCCAGAGUUUUUCUAGUCAUUUCCUCUGUGACUUGAAUUUCCUCAAGAGAAUAAACUCAGAUGUGAUUGGAAGAAGGCUCCUUCUGGGUAAUAAUGACAUCCAUCUUUUCAGGGUUUUAACAGUUCUGUGCCAAGAACCCGGGAAGAUAAAUACAUUUCUACCAUCAUCUACAUGAUUCAUUUACCAUGGCAUAUUUCAGAAAUACAGAAACACUAAAGAAGACCAUGGGCCAUGGACUGUUUCAGAGAUAGUCACACUGGGGACUAUGACCUCCUGAAAUUUAUAUGGCAGGAGAGUGUGCAAGGUGGAGGAGCCAAGGAGACAGUGCGCAGGGACCAUGCAAUGAUACCUGGUCAAAGCACUAGAAUCCAGCUGAAGGGAGAGUAGUGGAGAGAGGCAGAAGUGAGGAGAAAUAGACCUACAGUGGUCCUGCUAGUGCACAUGUGCUGUUAGCAUUACAGGCUCUUGUCAGCUUUUGUACCAUUGCAGUGACUUGUCUUUCUCAGACAGAGCUCUUACAUAACUCUCCAAAUGCCACUCGAACACUUGAAUACUGCUUUAUUGUCCAUGCGAAGGCAAAAGCUUGCUAGGCAGAACCAACUCUUUUUGUUGCAUGUCUUUUGAGCAUAAUAUUAUGUCUUCAUCAACAGUAGGAUUGCAUCACAGAACAUUCCCCUGAGCAGCCUUGAAGCUACCUAGCACCUCACAUUGUGUACCCUGCCCAGCUCCUUGUGGCCAGCAACUGUGAAUUUCCAGGAGCCACUGGCUGUCUCUCCACUGUUCAUGACCCCUCCUCUCUUCUUCCUGGCUGUGGCAGUUAAUCUUAAUUAUCAACUUGAUGGGUCACAAUAGGAACACCUCCUGAGUUACAAGAACAUUUCUGGAUUGGAUUAAUGGGGAAGGGAAGGCCCAACUCUAACUCUGAGCAACACCAUUAUGUGAGGUGUGGUCAUGGAUUGAGUAGAAAGGAGAAAAGAAACUAAGUUCCACCACUCACUCCUCUCUGCCCCCCACAGAGACACGCCUCCAUGUGUUACACCAUCUGCUUCAAGUUCAGGCCACCAUGCCUUUCUCUCCAUGAUGAACUGUAUCUUCAACCUGCAAGCCUAAGUAAACAUUUCUUAAUUAGGGUGCUUUUCUGGAGUAUUUUGUAACAACAAGAAAAAUCUCUAACUUUGUGGUGUCUGAAAUUUUCCCUUUCGGAGAACUAAAGGCUUUUACCUAGG
rnacentral:lncRNA from 1 species